UGCUGUCACAAAGAAAAAAAAUCACUGCAACACCCCUGAGUUGACAUUUUCAAUGAGAAAGGCCUCGGGUUCGCAGCUACCCAGGUGGCACCUGGCUUAAUGACUCAGCCCCAGCACAUCCACUGGACGGACAUCUCUCCUUCGCUCCCUGCCAGACUCCAGAGAUCCCCCAGCCUCCCCCAACCUCCAAGAAGUCCUCCAGAAUUCCUCAGAGGCCUGACUACCUCACUGGCAGAAAUGUUGGGAUCUGGCUGUCCUUUCCCUCUGCUCUGGCCUUGACAACAACUCCCAGCAUGGGACCACAGUACCUCACUUGUCCAAAAGGGGCCUCCACUUCAACACGUAUGUUCUCGAGCCCCCACAGCUCGAACUUCAAGGUUCCACAUUCUGAAGAAUAAAUCAGCAACACGCUUUCUCCCAGUUCCAUAAUUUCAAAGUCCACAUAUUGAGUUUACUUAUGAGAACUAUCUAUACAGGCUUUUUAUUUAACUCUCAGAGCACAGCUGAACGUCCCAAGUGAAGAACAGAGAAGGACAAAACUAAACAAAAAGCCAGGAGCAGGUAAAAGAGGCUGCAGCCACCGGAACAUGUGCUCAAGUCAUAAGUACGGCAUUGUUGGACCUUUCUCCCGUUCUUGCCCUCUACUCUCUGUAGCCUGACCUAUAGGUGCUGGGACUGUUUAGAGGAACACUCUGGCCACAUAUUCAGCCUGUUCUCCCUGCAAAUACCCACACGCUCUUCAACUCGAAUUUCAUGCCUGAGAGACAGCUCUAUAAACCAUUCAGAGUGACUUUUUUCUUUCUUCAAAUGAACCACCAACACUGAAAAAUACCCAAAGGACUCUUUCCGACA